GUUGCUGAGUGGUUCAGCGUCAGGCUUCCGAACCUGGGGUCCUGGGUUCGAAUCUCAGC
rnacentral:tRNA from 1 species